rnacentral:tRNA from 1 species
GCCCGGGUGGCGAAAUUGGCAGACGCGCCAGCUUGAGGUGCUGGUCCCGGUAAUACGGGUUGGAGGUUCGAGUCCUCUCCCGGGCA